rnacentral:rRNA from 1 species
ACCAAAUAGAUACCCAGGUAGUCCACGCCCUAAACGAUGCGAACUGGAUGUUGGGUACAUUACGGUACUCAGUGUCGAAAGCUAAACGCGUUAAGUUCGCCGCCUGGGGAGUACGGUCGCAAGACUGAAACUCAAAGGAAUUGACGGGGGCCCGCACAAGCGGUGGAGUAUGUGGUUUAAUUCGAUGCAACGCGAAGAACCUUACCUGGCCUUGACAUCUGUCGAAUCCUGCAGAGAUGCGGGAGUGCCGCAAGGAACGACAAGACAGGUGCUGCAUGGCUGUCGUCAGCUCGUGUCGUGAGAUGUUGGGUUAAGUCCCGCAACGAGCGCAACCCUUGUCCCUAGUUGCCAGCACAUCAUGGUGGGAACUCUAGGGAGACUGCCGGUGACAAACCGGAGGAA